rnacentral:rRNA from 1 species
CGCGUAGGCGGUGGGUUACGUCUGCCGUGAAAUCCCCGGGCUCAACCUGGGAAUGGCGGUGGAAACGGGCUGACUAGAGUAUGGGAGAGGGUGAUGGAAUUCCAGGUGUAGCGGUGAAAUGCGUAGAGAUCUGGAGGAACAUCAGUGGCGAAGGCGGUCACCUGGCCCAAUACUGACGCUGAGGCGCGAAAGCGUGGGGAGCAAACA